GCUGGGUGUGAUGGCGCGCGCCUGUAAUCCCAGUGGCUUGGGAAGCUGAGGCAGGAGGAUAGCGAAUUCAAAGCCAGCCUCAGCCAUGGUGAGGCGCUAAGUCAGUCAGUGUGACCCUGUCUCUA
rnacentral:sRNA from 1 species